rnacentral:lncRNA from 1 species
GUUAAGACUUUGUUUGUUUGUUUGUUUGUUUGGUUGGUUGGUUGGUUGGUUGGUUGGUUUGAUUUAUGUUUUAUUGUCUCUCUUCAAAGCAGCCCGACCCUUUCUCCUAACUGGAAUUGCUGGGAGAAGGAGGCCUGAAUUGUUCCCUUCUCUCUCAAGGGCCUGACUGAGAGUCCCUUUCCAAUAUUUCUACUGGGAAAAAGGACAAAGUAGAAUCCUACUGAUUCCUGUAUUCCUCUUUAAAUAAUUAUAAUAAUGGUUUGGGGACUAUAAUUAUAGCUGUUAUGUUAUGUUUUGCCACAUCACAACAAAAUUAAAGAUACCUAGCCAGGCUUUCAUGAUAUUUAAAGAGUGAUUUUCCCAAUUCUACCCCACAGAUACCUAGCCAGGCUUUCAUGAUAUUUAAGGAGUGGUUUUCCCAAUUCUACCCCACAAGCGAGUUUAUUUGUUUGUUUGUUUGAUUGAUGAUUGAUUGAUUGAUUGAUUGAUUUUUACCCCGCCCCUCUAGACAAUGUCUACUCAUUUACAUGGCCAAGUGAGAAUUUGAACCCAGAUCUCCUGAGUCUUGUUCCAUCACUCUGUCUACUGCACUGCACUUGGCAUUGUAACUCAUCACCUGGAAUCUGAUCAGUGUCCACAUAAGACUGUCAAAGGUGAGUCACAGGGCAACAGACAAACUGAACGCUGUGCCUGAAACUACAAAACGAGAAGAAGCAGAGAAAGGAAAAUACAAACCCGGGAAGAAAUGUUAUGAAACGGUCUCCUCAGGAAAAUUCUCUCUUUGUCUCUCUAGCUCUCCCAGUUUCCCCCAGCAGGUCAGUGCGUUUCAAAACACAAACACUUGUACACCUCCCUACCAUGAUAUGACGAGUCCAUCAAGAAUCAAGGAAAAGAGGUUGUUGAACAUGGGGAAAUGGAACACUGCCUGUCUCUAGAAAUUUGCGGGUGAGGUUCAUGUCAGUUGGGCUGCCAAAAUUCCAAAUGACACGGCCUCAGAGAAGAGGAUGGAUUAGGAAGAGUUAUUAUACAGAGAGAGAGAGAGAGACCAUUCUUCCUUUUCUUCCCCCUUCUCCCCUGGGUUUCUUGAUGAGCACCAUCUCUUGAUCCUGACGGGAGCAGUAAACAGCUUGUGUUUCGUCUCAGAAAAGUUUCGCCUUUCUUCAUUUCAUUAAAGCACUGGUUCUUAUUUAUUUGUUUGUUUGUUUGUUUGUUUGUUUGUUUGUUUGUUUAUUGGACUUAUAUACCGCCCCAUAGCGCUACAAGCACUCUCCGGGCGGUUUACAAUUUUUAAUUAUACAGGCUACACAUUGCCCCCCCAGCAAGCUGGGUACUCAUUUUACCGACCUCGGAAGGAUGGAAGGCUGAGUCAACCUUGAGCCAGGAGUUUUGGACUGCAACUCCCAGAAGCCUUCACCACCAGCUGUCCUGACUGGGGUUUUUGGGAGUUGCAGUUCAAAAGCAUCCGAGUAACAAAGGUUAAGAACCACUGCAUUAAAACAUCAGACGCAUGGAAUCAUAGAUCUGGACGGGGUUGUUAGGCAUCCUUCAGUCUCGAAAGACUGUGGUGACGUGCUCUGUAUGGAGGACUUGGAACAGCGUCUAGUGUUGCUGAGGAGGCCAAUUCGAGAGUGACAAUCUCUUCCACACUGAAGACAAAUCCAAUCUGUCCCCUGUCCAGCUCCCUGGUUUUGCUGCUUUUGUGACUUCCUCUUUGCCUCAGCCUGCUGGACAAGGGUCUCUUCAAAUUGGGAGAGGCCGUGAUCCCACAGCCUUGCCAUGGCUAGAUAGCUCAGCGGCUUAGGGAUCUGGCUGUGGACCCAGAGGUCAGGAGUAGAGAUGGACACAAACCAAACCACGAACCGGGGUGAGAAAAACAACACACAAACUGG